AACGCACAUGGCACUUGCGUCUUCGGAGGCAAGUAUACCUGUUUGAGAAUCGGUUCAACAACUAUCAUCAGUCUUGAUGGUGAGUUGACGCGUCUCGCGAGGCCUUGGCCAAGCGAGUCCGUCUAAAUGCAGACGUGUGGGGCUGCCCGAGGGCCGCCGCGCCGUGUGGUACUGGACGCGAGUCCUUGCGAGCACGGAUGCAACGCGGCGGCGCGACGGCAGCGCAUGCCCACAACGGUACGGCAGUCGCACUGCACAUGCGCAGGGUCGAUAGACCCGUGUGCGAUUCUCGAUCUCAAAUCAGGCAAGGCUACCCGCUGAACUUAA
rnacentral:misc_RNA from 1 species